rnacentral:rRNA from 1 species
UACGAAGGGGGCUAGCGUUGCUCGGAAUCACUGGGCGUAAAGGGUGCGUAGGCGGGGCUUUAAGUCAGGGGGGAAAUCCUGGAGCUCAACUCCAGAACUGCCUUUGAUACUGAAGAUCUCGAGUCCGGGAGAGGUGAGUGGAACUGCGAGUGUAGAGGUGAAAUUCGUAGAUAUUCGCAAGAACACCAGUGGCGAAGGCGGCUCACUGGACUGGUACUGACGCUGAUGCGCGAAAGCGUGGGGAGCAAACGGG